AGAACCUUACCAACCCUUGACAUCCCUGGACCGCCGGAGAGAUUCGGUUUCUCGUAAGAGACCAGGUGACAGGUGCUGCAUGGCUGUCGUCCAGCUCGUGUCGUGAGAUGUUCGGUUAAGUCCGGCAACGAGCGCAACCCACAUCCCUAGUUGCCAGCAGGUUAAGCUGGGCACUCUAUGGAAACUGCCCGUGAUAAGCGGGAGGAAGGUGUGGAUGACGUCAAGUCCUCAUGGCCCUUACGGGUUGGGCUACACACGUGCUACAAUGGCAGUGACAAUGGGUUAAUCCCAAAAAGCUGUCUCAGUUCGGAUUGGGGUCUGCAACUCGACCCCAUGAAGUCGGAAUCGCUAGUAAUCGCGUAACAGCAUGACGCGGUGAAUACGUUCCCGGGCCUU
rnacentral:rRNA from 1 species